GUGUGUACAUAGCUUUAAGAAAUGCUAUAGAAUAUGAGCAAAUGCUACAGAGACUGCAGGGAGUCCGAAGGGCUGCGCUCCUGCGGUGGCUCAGUCUUAUUUCAUACCUGCGACAUCC